rnacentral:rRNA from 1 species
AAGUGGAGCAAUCCAUGAGUAUAGUGGCGACCGGGUGAGUAACACGUGACUACCUGCCCUUGAGUGGGGGAUAACCUCGGGAAACCGAGGCUAAUACCGCAUAAUAUCGCAAGAUCAAAGGAGCAAUCCGCUUUUGGAGGGGGUCGCGGCUGAUUAGCUAGUUGGUGAGGUAAUGGCUCACCAAGGCGAAGAUCGGUAUCCGGCCUGAGAGGGCGCACGGACACACUGGAACUGAAACACGGUCCAGACUCCUACGGGAGGCAGCAGUGGGGAAUUUUGCGCAGUGGGGGAAACCCUGACGCAGCAACGCCGCGUGGAGGAUGAAGCCCCUUGGG